GUCAGUCAGUACCUUCAGACACGUUGCGCCGGUCGGGUCAGUUUGUUACCGUUUCUCGCAUCGCUAUGCCGUUCAUUCAUUCUCGCGUCCAAUCAGUGUAAAUGCAUCGGCGAAUGAGCUGUAAAGUGCAUAAUCAUUCAUUCAGCUGAAGAUAAAAGCGUAAAUAUGAGCUGCAAUGUGCAAGUGAUCUUUGAGUUUUUCAAUUAUUGAAAUCAGAAUAGAAUACGGGAAUUUAUUAUUCGACGCGCACUCUAACCACGAAUCAAAGCAUAUCAACUUCGCGUCGUGUUUGUUUUUCAUCUUUAUAAAACGUAAAAAAACGAUCUAACAGUGUUAAAAAGCAAACCUCACUUUAUAGACGAAUCUAGCGUGAAAUUAAAAAUCGACUUGGUGCAGAGCUACGGUAUCAGCAGUUAGCAGCGCUUGAUAUUCGCUCAAGAAUAGGUUACCGUCUUUAGCUUCAAAACAAGAGCAGGCUAAUCUAAACGAAUGCUAAACUGAUAAUGGCGCGCCCAGACAUUGGUUCGAUGGUCAAAGUAGCCGCCCCUCGGAUGUUUCUAUUCUUCGUUACAGUGGUCCUGUACUUUGCGCUGAUUGGACAAACCGAACGACAGUCGGUUUCAUCUACCAUACUCAAAUGCUUACCAAUCGUGAGCUUGUGGAUAUUUGUCAUUUUGACAGGAAUCCAGCUAAAGAAAAGCUACCGGUACAAGCACUGGAUUCUAACUGGACUAAUCUUCUCCUGUCUGGGUGACCUACUGCUGAACUAUGAUCUGUUUGAAGCGGGUAUGGCUGCAUUCGGAGUGGCUCAAAUAUUCUACAUAUUGGCUUUCGGCUUCAAGCCUCUGAGGCCCUGGCUGGGGCUACCUCUGUAUGGUUUGGGAGCUGCCGCAGUCGUUCUCAUGUUUGACAACCUGCCAUUAAUCAUUAAAAUUUGUCUUCCAAUUUACGGUGCUCUCCUUCUCACGAUGUGCUGGCGAUCAUGGGCCCGGAUUGAUACCGUGAAAAAUACAAUACGACUGUCCUGUGGAGUUGGUAGCGCACUGUUCGUUAUUUCCGAUAGUAUUAUAGCGAUCGACAAAUUCUAUACUCCAGUGAAAAACGCACAGAUUGCCAUCAUGAUUACAUAUUAUGUGGCCCAAUUCGGAAUUGCACUAAGUGUCAUUGAUCAAACUACUACUACUACUACUACUACUACUACUACUACCCCAAAAACAUCGGUAGACAAAAAAACUGCCAACCUUCCGAAUCAACGCCAAAAUGGUAGGAAUCGUAGGAAAUUAACGUGAAGGAUGAUGACACAUACACGACACGAUAAACGACAGCUUCUAUAAAUACAUGCUACCAUCAUACACAAGAACUCUUUCAUUUAAGGUUUCUUCGCUGUCAAACAGUACCAUCGAUCCGCCUAUGAAAUUAACACCAGUGAGAAAUAGAAAAAAAAUCAGUACGAAAGCAACAUGUGGAGCAUUUAACUUAGCGUAAACUUACAUAUUUAAACUGUGAUCAAACAUCUUCCCUCAGGCAUUGAGGAUUAACCUACGCAUAUUUUGGCUGCCUUUGAAAAGGAAUGCCAUUACGUUAAACUUGGAACUCCGUAUUUGAUGCUACAUAUUACACGGACAUCGUUAAAUCCAAAAAGUUCAGUAGCUGUAGAAUUUGAGACUGUAAAUGUUGUUAUGUAUCUAGAAUACAUAUUUUACCUAUGAUAAAUAAAGUUUAAUCGUUUUCCGAUGAA